AGCAUGCCACUAGUGGAGGCUCUCUGAAGCGCUAAAUUUGUACUUCUUUACGAUUCUAAAAUUCAUGCAGGAUUCGUCCAGCUUAGGCUGCCCUUUUCAGGUUUCUGGAUUCUGGGAAGCUCAAUUACAAGCCCGAGGCUGGCAUGAAGUAGUGAACAAUUAACAAGGCUGUCAGCCUCAGCCUGGGGUCUCUCAAUCCAGCAUUUACCCAGAACCCAGCAGAGACAGGGCUGCGGACAGAUCAACCUGGCUAUGACCCAAUGAGAAUUCUGCUUCAUGGAAAGAGAGAGAAUGUGCUCUCCCAAAGCCUGAUCUUAAGGAGGAACUGACAUCGGUCUCCGGAAAACCAGGAGAAUAAGGCCAACACUACUCAGCUUCUGCUUGUAAGUAACUAAUCUAAUUAAAGAUGGAAGAAGAUGGAGGGUAGCAAUUUGAGCCAGGAAGGCUGUCCAGACCAUAAGCAGUAGCCACCAUAGAAUGGAUGGAGUGCAGACACAAGGGUCAGAGGACCUGGGCCACUGCUUCUCCUGAAUCUGUCUACUAUGGCCUGAAGGUCCAUAUAUCUUUUUUCUUCCCAAAUGAGCUGGCCAUCUACCGACAGGCCUCCGCUGCUCAGAAAACUUGGGGACAGCCUGUGACGCAAAGAGGAGCGCAGGAACGGAGGCUGGCAGAGGAGCCCAGCUCCCAAAGAUUCUCCUGAUCAGUAGUGGUGGCUCAAGGCGCCUGACACAUGGAUGCGCUCUGAUUUCUGAGUUUCCUCAAAAUACUCACUCUGUAACAAAUUGUAAAUUACUGUACUCAAUUUUGUCUAAUAGAUUCUGCAUUGAUCUAUGUGAUGAAAAUAUGUUGAUUAUAAAAGUAAAUGCAUUAUCAAAAUCU
rnacentral:lncRNA from 1 species